ACAUCUUUAGCUGAAUUGGUACAGUCUUUGUUUACGGAGCAAAAAAUAUUGGUUCGAGUCCAAUAAGGUGUU